rnacentral:rRNA from 1 species
AUUGAACGCUGGCGGCAGGCUUAACACAUGCAAGUCGAGCGGAGAUGAGGUGCUUGCACCUUAUCUUAGCGGCGGACGGGUGAGUAAUGCUUAGGAAUCUGCCUAUUAGUGGGGGACAACAUUCCGAAAGGAAUGCUAAUACCGCAUACGUCCUACGGGAGAAAGCAGGGGAUCUUCGGACCUUGCGCUAAUAGAUGAGCCUAAGUCGGAUUAGCUAGUUGGUGGGGUAAAGGCCUACCAAGGCGACGAUCUGUAGCGGGUCUGAGAGGAUGAUCCGCCACACUGGGACUGAGACACGGCCCAGACUCCUACGGGAGGCAGCAGUGGGGAAUAUUGGACAAUGGGGGGAACCCUGAUCCAGCCAUGCCGCGUGUGUGAAGAAGGCCUUAUGGUUGUAAAGCACUUUAAGCGAGGAGGAGGCUACUGAGACUAAUACUCUUGGAUAGUGGACGUUACUCGCAGAAUAAGCACCGACUAACUCUGUGCCAGCCGCCGCCGUAG